rnacentral:rRNA from 1 species
GACGAACGCUGGCGGCGUGCCUAAUACAUGCAAGUAGAACGCUGAAGGAGGAGCUUGCUUCUCCGGAUGAGUUGCGAACGGGUGAGUAACGCGUAGGUAACCUGCCUGGUAGCGGGGGAUAACUAUUGGAAACGAUAGCUAAUACCGCAUAAGAGUAGAUGUCGCAUGACAUUUGCUUAAAAGGUGCAACUGCACCACUACCAGAUGGACCUGCGUUGUAUUAGCUAGUUGGUGAGGUAACGGCUCACCAAGGCAACGAUACAUAGCCGACCUGAGAGGGUGAUCGGCCACACUGGGACUGAGACACGGCCCAGACUCCUACGGGAGGCAGCAGUAGGGAAUCUUCGGCAAUAGACGGAAGUCUGACCGAGCAACGCCGCGUGAGUGAAGAAGGUUUUCGGAUCGUAAAGCUCUGUUGUAAGAGAAGAACGAGUGUGAGAGUGGAAAGUUCACACUGUGACGGUAGCUUACCAGAAAGGGACGGCUAACUACGUG